GUUCAGUUCAGCAACAUGUGCUAAAAUUUGAACAAAAUAGAGAAGAUUGGCAUAGUCUCUGUGCAAGAAUGAUGGCAAAUUAUGGAGCGUUCCAAAUUUUA
rnacentral:snRNA from 1 species